rnacentral:rRNA from 1 species
UAAGACAGAGGGUGCAAACGUUGUUCGGAAUUACUGGGCGUAAAGCGCGUGUAGGCGGCUCGGAAAGUCGGAUGUGAAAGCCCUGGGCUUAACCUAGGAAGUGCAUUCGAAACUCCCGAGCUUGAGUUCUGGAGAGGAAGGCGGAAUUCUCGGUGUAGAGGUGAAAUUCGUAGAUAUCGAGAGGAACACCGGUGGCGAAGGCGGCCUUCUGGACAGUGACUGACGCUGAGACGCGAAAGCGUGGGGAGCAAACAGGAUUAGAUACCCUGGUAGUCCACGCCGUAAACGAUGAGUGCUAGGUGUCGCGGGCUUUGACCCCUGCGGUGCCGCAGCUAACGCAUUAAGCACUCCGCCUGGGGAGUACGGCCGCAAGGCUA